AAGGGAAGGAAAUACAUAAUGAAUAAACAAGGUCUCCAGGGAGCACUGAGGAACAAAGGGACCUUGGUGUACAAGUCCAUAGAUUCCUGAAGCUGUCAGCACAGGUGGACAGGGUGGUGAAGAAGACAUACUGGAUGCUUAUAUAUGUAUGCUGAAGACAGGGGGUUCCAGAGGGAAUGGCUCCUGCAAACUACAGCCAUCAAGACCAAGUGUAGUUUCUCGUUCAAGACAGGUGGAUUUCAGUCCCCAUUAUGAGGUAUUGCUGGCUUGAAGUGGGUAUCUCUCAUCUCCCAGCAACAUCUUCAGUGAGAUAAAACUGCCACAGGAAGAAAGCAUCAUGACAGCUCCCUAGAACCACUGUCCAUGGUUGCACCAACAUCUUGCUGUUACACACUAGCUACACAGUAAUGGAGAGGAAGCCCAUGCAAGUUGGGGGAUACUGCUAGCUGUUCUAAGGGAGCAUGAAUUUCUGUGUGUGCAACUGCCAUCUCCCUGUGAGAACCCCACCAGCAACACAUACUCAAUUUCUUGCAAAUUCUGAUUGAUGUCAACAAAGAUGGAAUUCACAAUUACUGAUCCUGAAAAACAAUCCAUCAGUCACUUGUCAUUUGCUUUGGCUGGAACUGGGAGAUCCUGGAUAUCUAGCAGAGCCCAGGAAUGGUCCAGAGGCAAAAAGGUUGAGGGCAGCAGUCAUUUUAACUGUCUUUGUUAACAGUGGACAUCACAUCUAGUGGGGAUCAGGUUUGUUUCUCAGAUAUCUGUCACCCACCUGGCUCAAUUGCCUUGAACUCCUGAAAUACUGCUGUUCAGAUAUGUCAAGGAAGCUCAUCUUCUGGCUAUACACCAUGUUAUUCCUCCUAUGAGCUGCAGCCCACAGCUGCUCCCCAUUCUGGUAUCCAGCAAUAAGUCACAGAAUAGCAGGCUGCUGUUAGUCCUCAUGCUGAUGUUUAGCUGCUGGUUACAUUGUUCCUACUGAGGUCCAGUCUAAGACUGCCAUCCCACCAUGAUGCGAUUCAGAAAAUCUCCAAAGAAAGUAAA